UACAGAGGUCCCAAGCGUUGUCCGGAGUUAUUGGGCGUAAAGCGCGCGCAGGCGGCUUCGCGCGCCCGACGUGAAAGCCCCCGGCUUAACCGGGGAGAGUCGUUGGGGACGGCGGAGCUUGAGGGCGGGAGAGGUCGGUGGAAUUCCCGGUGUAGUGGUGAAAUGCGUAGAGAUCGGGAGGAACACCGGUGGCGAAGGCGGCCGACUGGGCCGACCCUGACGCUGAGGCGCGAAGGCGUGGGGAGCGAACGGG
rnacentral:rRNA from 1 species